rnacentral:rRNA from 1 species
UCAAAGUCAUUGGCAGCAGACUCGGUAGCUAAUUGCGCAGCACAUCGCGCCAGAGGCCCCGGGUCCGCUCUCCACGAGCACAGUCUCAUCAGUUUGACCUCGGAUCAGGUAGGGAUACCCGCUGAACUUAAGCAUAUCAAUAAGCGGAGGAAAAGAAACCAACAGGGAUUGCCCUAGUAACGGCGAGUGAAGCGGCAACAGCUCAAAUUUGAAAUCUGGCUCCUUCCGGGGUCCGAGUUGUAAUUUGUAGAGGGUGCUUUGGCGUCGGCCAUGGUCUAAGUUCCUUGGAACAGGGCGUCACAGAGGGUGAGAAUCCCGUACGUGGCCGCUGGCCUUCGCCAUGUAAAGCCCCUUCGACGAGUCGAGUUGUUUGGGAAUGCAGCUCUAAAUGGGAGGUAAAUUUCUUCUAAAGCUAAAUAUUGGCCAGAGACCGAUAGCGCACAAGUAGAGUGAUCGAAAGAUGAAAAGCACUUUGGAAAGAGAGUCAAAAAGCACGUGAAAUUGUUGAAAGGGAAGCGCUUGCAGCCAGACUUGCUCGUAGUUGCUCAUCCGGGUUUCGACCCGGUGCACUCUUCUGCGAGCAGGCCAGCAUCAGUUCAGGCGGUCGGAUAAAGGUCCCGGGAAUGUGGCUC